rnacentral:rRNA from 1 species
GAUGAACGCUGGCGGCGUGCCUAAUACAUGCAAGUCGAGCGAACAGACGAGGAGCAUGCUCUCGGAACGAUCGCGGCGGAAGGGGUAGUAAAACGUAGAUAAACUACUUAUUAACCUGGGUUAAAUUCGGGAAACCGCAGUUAAUACCGGAAAAUAUAUCGAAUCACAUGAUAUAAUCGCGUAAGAAUUUUAUCCUAGCAUUAUUAGUUUGACCUGGGCUGUAUUCGCUAGUUGGUAAUGUAACGGUUUACCAAGGCAACGAUACGUAGCCGACCUGAGCGGGUGAUCCGCCACACUGGAUCUGAGACACGGUCCAGACUCCUGCGGGAGGCAGCAGUAGGGAAUCUUCCGCAAUGGGCGAAAGCCUGACGGAGCAACGCCGCGUGAGUGAUGAAGGUCUUCGGAUCGUAAAACUCUGUUAUUAUGGAAGUACAAACGUGUAAGUAACUGUGCACGUCUUGACGGUACCUAAUCAGAAAGCCACGGCUAACUACGUG